rnacentral:rRNA from 1 species
UAGAGUUUGAUCAUGGCUCAGAUUGAACGCUGGCGGCAGGCCUAACACAUGCAAGUCGAGCGGAAACGACACUAACAAUCCUUCGGGUGCGUUAAUGGGCGUCGAGCGGCGGACGGGUGAGUAAUGCCUAGGAAAUUGCCUUGAUGUGGGGGACAACCAUUGGAAACGAUGGCUAAUACCGCAUAAUGCCUACGGGCCAAAGAGGGGGACCUUCGGGCCUCUCGCGUCAAGAUAUGCCUAGGUGGGAUUAGCUAGUUGGUGAGGUAAUGGCUCACCAAGGCGACGAUCCCUAGCUGGUCUGAGAGGAUGAUCAGCCACACUGGAACUGAGACACGGUCCAGACUCCUACGGGAGGCAGCAGUGGGGAAUAUUGCACAAUGGGCGAAAGCCUGAUGCAGCCAUGCCGCGUGUAUGAAGAAGGCCUUCGGGUUGUAAAGUACUUUCAGUUGUGAGGAAGGGGGUAGCGUUAAUAGCGCUGUCUCUUGACGUUAGCAACAGAAGAAGCACCGGCUAACUCCGUGCCAGCAGCCGCGGUAAUACGGAGGGUGCGAGCGUUAAUCGGAAUUACUGGGCGUAAAGCGCAUGCAGGUGGUUCAUUAAGUCAGAUGUGAAAGCCCGGGGCUCAACCUCGGAACUGCAUUUGAAACUGGUGAACUAGAGUACUGUAGAGGGGGGUAGAAUUUCA